rnacentral:tRNA from 1 species
GGCCAGUUGGUGAAGCGACUUAACACACCGCCCUUUCACGGCGGCAUUCUCGGGUUUGAAUCCCGAACUGGUCACCA